ACUCAAAGGAAUAGACGGGGGCCCGCACAAGCGGUGGAGCAUGUGGUUCAAUUCGACGCAACGCGAAGAACCUUACCUGGGUUGGAACCCCCCGGAAGUCCGCAGAGAUGUGGAUGUGCCCGCAAGGGAGCCGGGUGUCCAGGUGCUGCAUGGCUGUCGUCAGCUCGUGUCGUGAGAUGUUGGGUUAAGUCCCGCAACGAGCGCAACCCUUGUCGUUAGUUGCCAGCGGUUCGGCCGGGCACUCUAACGAGACUGCCGACGUUAAGUCGGAGGAAGGUGGGGAUGACGUCAAGUCCUCAUGGCCCUCAUGCCCAGGGCUACACACGUGCUACAAUGGCCGUUACAAAGGGUUGCAAGCCCGCGAGGGUGAGCCAAUCCCAAAAAAGCGGCCUCAGUUCAGAUUGGAGUCUGCAACUCGACUCCAUGAAGUCGGAAUCGCUAGUAAUCCCCAAUCAGCAGGUGGGGGUGAAUACGUUCCCGGGCCUUGUACACACCGCCCGU
rnacentral:rRNA from 1 species